UACGUAGGGGGCAAGCGUUGUCCGGAAUCAUUGGGCGUAAAGAGCGUGUAGGCGGUUGGGUAAGUCGGGUGUGAAAACUCCAGGCUCAACUUGGAGAUGCCACCCGAUACUGCUCUGACUUGAGUUCGGUAGGGGAGUGGGGAAUUCCUGGUGUAGCGGUGAAAUGCGCAGAUAUCAGGAGGAACACCGGUGGCGAAGGCGCCACUCUGGGCCGAAACUGACGCUGAGGAGCGAAAGCGUGGGUAGCAAACAGG
rnacentral:rRNA from 1 species